rnacentral:tRNA from 1 species
GCUGAUGUAGCUCAGUUGGUAGAGCACUUCCUUGGUAAGGAAGAGGUUCACCGGUUCAAGCCCGGUCAUCAGCU